AUUGAACGCUGGCGGCAUGCUUUACACAUGCAAGUCGAACGGUAACAGGCCGCAAGGUGCUGACGAGUGGCGAACGGGUGAGUAAUGCAUCGGAACGUGCCCAGUCGUGGGGGAUAACUGCUCGAAAGAGCAGCUAAUACCGCAUACGAUCUAUGGAUGAAAGCGGGGGACCGUAAGGCCUCGCGAGAUUGGAGCGGCCGAUGUCAGAUUAGGUAGUUGGUGGGGUAAAGGCUCACCAAGCCACCGAUCUGUAGCUGGUCUGAGAGGACGCUCAGCCACACUGGGACUGAGACACGGCCCAGACUCCUACGGGAGGCAGCAGUGGGGAAUUUUGGACAAUGGGGGCAACCCUGAUCCAGCAAUACCGCGUGCAGGAAGAAGGCCUUCGGGUUGUAAACUGCUUUUGUACGGAACGAAACGGUCUGGGUUAAUACCCUGGGCUAAUGACGGUACCGUAAGAAUAAGCACCGGCUAACUACGUGCCAGCCGCCGCAGUAACAC
rnacentral:rRNA from 1 species